UACGUAGGGUGCAAGCGUUGUCCGGAAUUAUUGGGCGUAAAGAGCUCGUAGGCGGUUGUCGCGUCUGGUGUGAAAAUCCAGGGCUUAACCCUGGACCUGCAUCGGGUACGGGCAGACUAGAGUGCGGUAGGGGAGAUCGGAAUUCCUGGUGUAGCGGUGAAAUGCGCAGAUAUCAGGAGGAACACCGGUGGCGAAGGCGGAUCUCUGGGCCGUAACUGACGCUGAGGAGCGAAAGCAUGGGGAGCGAACAGG
rnacentral:rRNA from 1 species